rnacentral:rRNA from 1 species
GGGUUCGAUUCCGGAGAGGGAGCCUGAGAAACGGCUACCACAUCCAAGGAAGGCAGCAGGCGCGCAAAUUACCCAAUCCCAAUACGGGGAGGUAGUGACAAUAAAUAACAAUAUGGGGCUCUUACGGGUCUCGUAAUUGGAAUGAGUACAAUUUAAAUCUCUUAACGAGGAACAAUUGGAGGGCAAGUCUGGUGCCAGCAGCCGCGGUAAUUCCAGCUCCAAUAGCGUAUAUUAAAGUUGUUGCAGUUAAAAAGCUCGUAGUUGAAUUUCGGAGUUUGUCGAUUGGUCGGGCUUCACUGUCCGCACUGGCCUGAUGGAUUCCUACCUUCUGAAUAACCAGCAUGCUAUUAAGUUAGUGCGUUGGGGAAGCAGAGCUAUUACCUUGAAAAAAUUAGAGUGCUUAAAGCAGGCUUUUGCUUGAAUAGAUUAGCAUGGAAUAAUAAAAUAGGACGGCAUGGUUCUAUUUUGUUGGCUUCUAGGAUCACCGUAAUGAUUAAUAGGGAUAGUUGGGGGCAUUAGUAUUCAAUUGUCAGAGGUGAAAUUCUUGGAUUUAUUGAAGACUAACUUCUGCGAAAGCAUUUGCCAAGGAUGUUUUCAUUAAUCAAGAA